rnacentral:rRNA from 1 species
UGGGGAAUAUUGCACAAUGGGCGCAAGCCCGAUGCAGCCAUGCCGCGUGUGUGAAGAAGGCCUUCGGGUUGUAAAGCACUUUCAGCGAGGAGGAAGGUGGUGAGCUUAAUACGCUCAUCAAUUGACGUUACUCGCAGAAGAAGCACCGGCUAACUCCGUGCCAGCAGCCGCGGUAAUACGGAGGGUGCAAGCGUUAAUCGGAAUUACUGGGCGUAAAGCGCACGCAGGCGGUUUGUUAAGUCAGAUGUGAAAUCCCCGGGCUCAACCUGGGAACUGCAUUUGAAACUGGCAAGCUAGAGUCUCGUAGAGGGGGGUAGAAUUCCAGGUGUAGCGGUGAAAUGCGUAGAGAUCUGGAGGAAUACCGGUGGCGAAGGCGGCCCCCUGGACGAAGACUGACGCUCAGGUGCGAAAGCGUGGGGCAGCAAACAGGAUUAGAUACCCUGGUAGUCCUCGCUGUAAACGAUGUCGAUUUGGAGGUUGUGCCCUUGAGGCGUGGCUUCCGGAGCUAACGCGUUAAAUCGACCGCCUGGGGAGUACGGCCGCAAGGUUAAAACUCAAAGGAAUUG